rnacentral:rRNA from 1 species
GCUUGUCUCAAAGAUUAAGCCAUGCAUGUCUAAGUAUAAACAACUUUAUACUGUAAAACUGCGAACGGCUCAUUAUAUCAGCAAUAAUUUAUUUGAUGGUUUCUUACCCCAUGGAUAACUGUGGUAAUUCUAGAGCUAAUACAUGCGUAAAGUCCCGACUCUUUCUGGGGAGGGAUGUAUUUAUUAGAUAAAGCCAACGCUGGGUAAAACCAGUUUCCCUUGGUGAUUCAUAAUAAUUAAGCGGAUCGCAUGGCCUUGUGCUAGCGACAGUCCACUCGAUUUUCUGCCCUAUCAUGGUUGAGAUUGUAAGAUAGAGGCUUACAAUGCCUACAACGGGUAACGGGGAAUUAGGGUUCGAUUCCGGAGAGGGAGCCUGAGAAACGGCUACCACAUCCAAGGAAGGCAGCAGG